rnacentral:lncRNA from 1 species
GUAGGUUGUCAGGUAACUCUUCCCUUAUCUUAUUUCGAAACAUUGGGGACAAUGUUCGAUUUAAGUGUGGGAGGAGACUCUAUCGUCUUUUCUUUAUUGCUUUUCUUGUCUUUUCUUUAUCGCUUUUCUUUGUUGUUUUUAGAUAGUUUGUUUAUUUUUAUUGCCUUUUAGUUGUUUAUUUUGCUUUUUAGUUUAAGUGUCUUAGAUAAUGCAUGAGUCUGAUGAGUCACCAAAUAUAGUGUAUCUUUA